rnacentral:tRNA from 1 species
AGCGGUGUAGCUCAAGGGCAGAGCAUACGCUUGAUAAGCGUCAGACGAAGGUUCAACUCCUUCCACCGCUACCA